UUUUUUCAAGUUGCCCAGAAAUCAAGAUUAAACCACUUGGUCCUAUGCUUUUGAAUGGUCUCACUAAGCUAAUAAAUGAAUAUAAAGAGGACCCUAAACUAUUGUCAAUGGCGUAUUCAGCUGUUGGAAAACUCUCUAGUCGAAUGCCUCAUUUAUUCACUAAGGAUAUAGCUCUUGUACAACAGCUUUUUGAAGCCCUGUGUAAGGAAGAACCUGAGACUCGACUCGCUAUUCAGGAAGCAUUGUCUAUGAUGGUUGGAGCUUAUAGUACCUUAGAAGGAGCACAGAGAACUUUAAUGGAGGCACUUGUAGCUUCAUAUUUAAUAAAGCCUGAAGUUCAAGUUCGGCAAGUUGCAGUGAAAUUUGCCAGCACGGUGUUUCCCUCAGAUCAUAUACCUUCCAGAUACUUGCUCCUACUGGCUGCCGGAGACCCGCGAGAAGAAGUUCAUGGUGAAGCACAGCGUGUAUUACGGUGUCUUCCUGGUAGAAACAAAAAGGAGAGUGCUUCUAAGCAGAUGCCGUCUUUUCCAGAAAUGGUGUAUUACAUUCAAGAAAAGG
rnacentral:lncRNA from 1 species